GAAACCUGCCUUGAUGGUACGGGGAUAACUACCUGUCAAACGGUAGCUAAUACCGCAUAACGUCGCAAGACCAAAGAGGGGGACCUUCGGGCCUCUUGCCAUCGGAUGUGCCCAGAUGGGAUUAGCUAGUAGGUGGGGUAACGGCUCACCUAGGCGACGAUCCCUAGCUGGUCUGAGAGGAUGACCAGCCACACUGGAACUGAGACACGGUCCAGACUCCUACGGGAGGCAGCAGUGGGGAAUAUUGCACAAUGGGCGCAAGCCUGAUGCAGCCAUGCCGCGUGUAUGAAGAAGGCCUUCGGGUUGUAAAGUACUUUCAUCCGGGGAGGAAGGUGUUGAGGUUAAUAACCUCAGCAAUUGACGUUACCCGCAGAAGAAGCACCGGCUAACUCCGUGCCAGCAGCCGCGGGUAAUACUGGAGGGUGCAAGCGUUAAUCGGAAUUACUGGGCGUAAAGCGCACGCAGGCGGUCUGUCAAGUCGGAUGUGAAAUCCCCGGGCUCAACCUGGUGAACUGCAUUCUAAACUGGCAGGCUAGAGUCUUGUAGAGGGGGGUAGAAUUCCAGAUGUAUCGGGUGAAAUGCUUAGAGAUCUGGGAGAAUACCGGUGGCGAAGCCGGCCCCCUGGGACCAAAAACCUGACCGCUCAAGGUUGCGAAAGCG
rnacentral:rRNA from 1 species